UGUCACUUUAGAAAAAUAAACAGAGUGAUAUUGCACAUAUUACACAUAUACAGUGAUUGUGAUUAUGCACAUUUUUUGUUUAAGUAGAUCAUGAGUGGGUCCCUAGGGGGCUUCUGUUGAGUAUGGUGCAUGGUACACUGGUGAUGUCUGUUCAGGCCCAGGGAGGGUGGUCAUGUGUGAGCAAGCUUGGGAACCUGUACAGGUCUUGAGUUAGAUCAAGCGAUUUCUGAACUUGGGUGUCG